rnacentral:lncRNA from 1 species
GUACAGUUUCUUAAAUUGUAUGGCAAUUGUGCAUAAUAAAAUCUUGGGGGAAACCCAAGGAGUGUUCACAACGACACUUGGGGGUAGUGUUCACAGUUGUCCCCGUGUCCACACAAGGCGAAGCAGCUGGGGUAGGUGAGCACCCGGCGGGCUCCGGGCGGAGGCGUCCUCGGCGGCAGGAAGCGGCACAGAGAGGUGGAGUGACUUCCUGAUGAGAGUGCAUCUUCAUUGCUGGAAAGCCUGAAUGAGGCACAAUUCUUCUCCAGGUGUUUUUCUAUUUAACUCAAAUCUCGUCAAAAUCCUCUAAGAAGGAAAGUUCACUGAUGUAAGAGAUGAUGCAAUGUGCAUGGAUUACUGAAUUCUAAGUACUGUGAAAGGCACUUUCACUUAAUUAUCUCAAGUUCUCCCAACACCAUGAAGUAGGUACUACUUUGCCUACUUUAUAGAUUUAAAAAAUGGAAGCACAGAGAAGUUAGCUUAUUUAUUCAAGGUCACACAGCUGGUAAAGUGCUGGUUUAUACCCAACAGCCUGAAUCUGGAGCCAGCUCUCUUAUGAGUGGGCGUUACUGCAUUCCAAGGAAGCAAUGACUGUGCAAAGUGAUGAGCACCUUAAUAGCAGAAGUCCGAGGAUGCUGGAGCUCAGAAGAGUCCCUAAUUCAGGCUGGAGAGUCAAACAGGGCUGCUUCUUAGAGGAGGCAUCAUCCAGGCAGGACUUUAAAAGAGCAGAGCCUGCCACACAGUGCGUGCCCAGUAAACGUUUGAUGGAGGAGCUGUGAAGCCAGCACAGAGGGAAGAACUGGGGUGAGGCAGGACCAGCAUAAGAGCGUGUCUCUGCCGGGGUUCCAGGCUGGCUCUUCACCAUUCUCCUGCCUCCAGUCCAGGGACGCCUCUCCCUUUCGACUUAGGGUGUCAAGUUGACAAUCAAACUGGAACCAGGCGAAACCUUCUAUUCCGACAGGCCAGACAGUUCUGAGAAGCUGGGCAGACGCAAAGGUGAACUGGUAUCAGGCAAGGAGCCCACUGCAAGGCUGUUCCCAAGGAUCAUUCGGGACCACGCAAGGGCCAGAGGGACAGUGGUUUUCCAAAACUUUUGCUCAUAUUCCUUGCAGAAUACAUUUUUAGGUUGACACCUAAAAUUUUUAAAUCAUACGUUUAAGUAGUUUCAAAGGAUAUAUUUUCUAGUGUUUUUUACAUUGUGAACACACCUUAAAUGUAUUUUUUUUUGUUGUUGUUGAAAACAGAUUUAGUUCAUGGAAAGUGAUCUCUGUAUAACCUAGGUGGCAAAGCCAGUCCUAUCAGACAAAUCAUACUUUCUGUCAGGAAAAGCUGGACUUCAUAUUUCAGUUCAAAUAAUGGUGUUAAAAUAUAUCCUGGGGACAUCUCUCUCACUUCUGGUUCUCAAUCCAAAAGCGACAGGGAGGGAGAGGGGGAGGGAGGAAGAGAG